rnacentral:rRNA from 1 species
CCUACGGGAGGCAGCAGUGGGGAAUCUUGCGCAAUGGGCGAAAGCCUGACGCAGCAACGCCGCGUGCGGGAAGAAGGCUUUCGGGCUGUAAACCGCUUUCAGCAGGAACGAAAAUGACGGUACCUGCAGAAGAAGGAGCGGCCAACUAUGUGCCAGCAGCCGCGGUGAUACAUAGGCUUCAAGCGUUGUCCGGAUUUAUUGGGCGUAAAGAGUUCGUAGGCGGUCGAGUAAGUCGGGUGUGAAAAUUCUGGGCUCAACCCAGAGACGCCACCCGAUACUGCUUGACUUGAGUUCGAUAGGGGAGUGGGGAAUUCCUAGUGUAGCGGUGAAAUGCGCAGAUACUAGGAGGAACACCGGUGGCGAAGGCGCCACUCUGGAUCGAUACUGACGCUGAGGAACGAAAGCAUGGGUAGCAAACAGGAUUAGAUACCCUGGUAGUCCAUGCCGUAAACGGUGGGCACUAGGUGUGGGUUUCUAUUAACGAAAUCCGCGCCGUCGCUAACGCAUUAAGUGCCCCGCCUGGGGGAGGUACGGUCGCGAGACGAAACUACAANAGUAAGUAGACGCGUUGAGAGUUGCGACGGCGACGACGAGGGAGGAGG